GGUUAAUGAUGUGUCGUGGCAUUUGAAGAACGAGAAUCUGUUUGGGUCUUUUGGGGACGAUUGUCCAUUGAUGAUAUGGGACUUGAGAACAAAUCAAGCCCAAGACUCUGUCAAAGUUCAUGAGAAAGAGCAUCUUCAGACACUACUGUGGGUCUGUUUGAUAUGCGGAAGCUGACGGUAUGCUCUCAGUGGCCACACAAAGGAGGUAUUCCAGGUUGAAUGGGACCCUAAUCAUGAUACUGUACUGGCAUCUUACGCUGGAGGAAGAUGGCUGGAGGGAGAUGGGGAUGAGCAGUUGGAGGGUGAUGGGGAUGA